GCCGCUUUAGUAUAGUGGUUAGUACACUUCGUUGUGGCCGAAGAAACGCAUGUUCGAUUCAUGCAAGCGGCA